rnacentral:rRNA from 1 species
CGCUGGCGGCGUGCCUAACACAUGCAAGUCGAGCGAGGAGAUCCUUCGGGAUGAUCCUAGCGGCGGACGGGUGAGUAACACGUGGGCAACCUGCCUCAUAGAGAGGAAUAGCCUUCCGAAAGGGAGAUUAAUACCUCAUAACAUUGCAGUUUCGCAUGGAACAGCAAUUAAAGGAGCAAUCCGCUAUGAGAUGGGCCCGCGGCGCAUUAGCUAGUUGGUGAGGUAACGGCUCACCAAGGCGACGAUGCGUAGCCGACCUGAGAGGGUGAUCGGCCACAUUGGGACUGAGACACGGCCCAGACUCCUACGGGAGGCAGCAGUGGGGAAUAUUGCACAAUGGGGGAAACCCUGAUGCAAGCAACGCCGCGUGAGUGAUGACGGCCUUCGGGUUGUAAAGCUCUGUCUUCAGGGACGAUAAUGACGGUACCUGAGGAGGAAGCCACGGCUAACUACGUGCCAGCCGCUGC